rnacentral:rRNA from 1 species
CCUACGGGUGGCAGCAGUGGGGGAUAUUGCACAAUGGGGGGAACCCUGAUGCAGCGACGCCGCGUGAGCGAUUGAGUACUUCGGUAUGUAAAGCCCUGUCAGCAGGGAAGAAAAUGACGGUACCUGACCAAGAAGCCCCGGCUAAAUAUGUGCCAGCAGCCGCGGUAAUACGUAUGGGGCAAGCGCUAUCCGGAUUCACUGGGUGUAAAGGGAGCGUAGGCGGCAGGGCAAGCCUGAUGUGAAAGCAGGGGGCUCAACCCCGGGACUGCAUAGGGAACUGCCCGGCUGGAGUGCCGGAGGGGGAGGCGGAAUGCGUGGUGUAGCAGUGAAAUGCGUAGAUAUUAGGAGGAACACCAGUGGCGAAGGCGGGCUGCUGGACGGUGACUGACGCUGAGGCUCGAAGGCGUGGGGAGCAAACGGGAUUAGAUACCCCAGUAGUC